GCUGCCAGCCUCCUCCCCUCCCGGGCUGCUCGGGACGUGCCGGCGGGGCACGGAGACAGGCGAAGGGGCCGGGGGGGGCGAUGCCGAGGGGUGUGCGAGCGAGUGCGGCUGUGUCGGUGCGUGUGGCUGUGUCGGUGAGUGUAGUGGAGCCGGGCCCGCCCGGCAGCACCUGCCUCUGGCCGCGGCGCCGGUGCGGGGCUUUCAGGGCGGCCGGGCGGGCUGUGCGAGCGGCUGUGAGACGGGCUGUGAGACGGGCCCCGGAGCCGGAGCCACCCAGGGGGCCGUAGGAAGCGGCUCGAGGAGCGCCACCGAGGGACCGGAGCGGCUCGGCGGAGCUGCGGCGGGCGGUGAGGCGCAUUACACACAUCGCGUCAACGGCCUGACAGGAAACACCUGAAAAGGUUUUGUUAUAAUACCUGCUGCCAGGGCUGGAGAAGAAGCCUCCGUAACCAGAAGGUCAACAGUGAAGGAAGACAUUCAUCCCUACCUUUAAAUAUGGCUUAAAACAGGAAGAAAUGCAAUUUCUUUUCUUUGUACUUUGUUUUUACGGUGUGCCCUAAUGUGGUGUGUUUCUGUGAGGCUUAAAGAGAGUGUGUGUCUGGACAGAGUGGGAUUACGGUCACUUUAUUACAGUUCUGAAGGAUUAAUCUUAGGCUCAUGUGUUCAGAGGUCUCUACUUUCCAUCAGAGUCCAGACUGGGUAGGAGUCUAGGACUGACUCCUCUCCUGUAAAUUGCAAGCUUAUAAUCUCUUCUAAAAAUGCAUUGAUUUAGAUUUUAACUUUUAAUGGUAUUGAUUAUUGAGUUACGUAAGUAUCUAGAGAAGUAUUUCAAGUGCUACUGUUCUUGUGUUCUUAAAUUACAGUGAUCAUGAAAUAACUGCAACUUAAACUCUAUAGCUAGCUAUUUGGCUGGUUCUGCAAAGAUGAAGUACCUUCGAUAUUUGGAUAUGUUAACAAAAACAGCCACUCUAUAACAUUUUAAUAGUACUACCACAUGAAAUUUGGGAGAAUUGUUGGUAUGUAAUAUGGCAAAGAAUUAUUCUACAUGAUCCAGUAUUCAGGUAUGAUUAAUAUACUCAAGUUCACACUG